GACGUCGAAUAUCGACGUCAUAAACACCAAAGUUGAUCGUGUUUAUGACGUCGAAUAUCGACGUCAAAAACACCAAAGUUGAUCGUGUUAAUAUCUUCGAAUAUCGACGUGAUCAACACCAAAGUUGAUCGUGUUUACCACUUCGAAUAUCGCCGUCAUAAACACCAAAGUUGAUCGUGUUUAUGACGUCGAAUAUCGACGUC
rnacentral:miRNA from 1 species